CUACGGGUUGCUGCAGUGAGGAAUAUUGCACAAUGGGGGGAACCCUGAUGCAGCAACGCCGCGUGGAGGAUGACGCAUUUCGGUGUGUAAACUCCUUUUAUAUGUCAAGAAAAUGACGGUAGCAUAUGAAUAAGCACCGGCUAACUCCGUGCCAGCAGCCGCGGUAAUACGGGAGGGUGCAAGCGUUACUCGGAAUCACUGGGCGUAAAGGACGCGUAGGCGGGUUGGAAAGUCAGGUGUGAAAUCCUACAGCUUAACUGUAGAACUGCACUUGAAACUUCUAAUCUAGAGUAUGGGAGGGGGAGAUGGAAUUAGUGGUUUAGGGGUAACAUCCGUAGAUAUCACUAGGAAUACCUAAAGCGAAGGCGAUCUCCUGGAACAUUACUGACGCUAAGGCGUGAAAGCGUGGGGAGCAAACAGGAUUAGAUACCCGAGUAGUC
rnacentral:rRNA from 1 species